AACGAACGCUGGCGGCAGGCCUAACACAUGCAAGUCGAACGAGAAGCUUUCCUUCGGGAAAGUGGAAAGUGGCAGACGGGUGAGUAACGCGUGGGAACGUGCCCAGAGGUAGGGAACAACUGCUGGAAACGGCAGCUAAUACCCUAUGAGCCCUACGGGGGAAAGAUUUAUCGCCUUUGGAUCGGCCCGCGUCGGAUUAGCUUGUUGGUGAGGUAACGGCUCACCAAGGCUUCGAUCCGUAGCUGGUUUGAGAGGAUGAUCAGCAACACUGGGACUGAGACACGGCCCAGACUCCUACGGGAGGCAGCAGUGGGGAAUCUUGGACAAUGGGGCAACCCUGAUCCAGCCAUGCCGCGUGAGCGAUGAAGGCCUUAGGGUUGUAAAGCUCUUUCACCGGUGAAGAUAAUGACGGUAGCCGGAGAAGAAGCCCCGGCUAACUCCGUG
rnacentral:rRNA from 1 species